UUAAGCGACUAAGCGUACACGGUGGAUGCCCUGGCAGUCAGAGGCGAUGAAGGACGUGCUAAUCUGCGAUAAGCGUCGGUAAGGUGAUAUGAACCGUUAUAACCGGCGAUUUCCGAAUGGGGAAACCCAGUGUGAUUCGUCACACUAUCAUUAACUGAAUCCAUAGGUUAAUGAGGCGAACCGGGGGAACUGAAACAUCUAAGUACCCCGAGGAAAAGAAAUCAACCGAGAUUCCCCCAGUAGCGGCGAGCGAACGGGGAGCAGCCCAGAGCCUGAAUCAGUGUGUGUGUUAGUGGAAGCGUCUGGAAAGGCGUGCGAUACAGGGUGACAGCCCCGUACACAAAAAUGCACAUAUUGUGAGCUCGAUGAGUAGGGCGGGACACGUGGUAUCCUGUCUGAAUAUGGGGGGACCAUCCUCCAAGGCUAAAUACUCCUGACUGACCGAUAGUGAACCAGUACCGUGAGGGAAAGGCGAAAAGAACCCCGGCGAGGGGAGUGAAAAAGAACCUGAAACCGUGUACGUACAAGCAGUGGGAGCACGCUUAGGCGUGUGACUGCGUACCUUUUGUAUAAUGGGUCAGCGACUUAUAUUCUGUAGCAAGGUUAACCGAAUAGGGGAGCCGAAGGGAAACCGAGUCUUAACUGGGCGUUAAGUUGCAGGGUAUAGACCCGAAACCCGGUGAUCUAGCCAUGGGCAGGUUGAAGGUUGGGUAACACUAACUGGAGGACCGAACCGACUAAUGUUGAAAAAUUAGCGGAUGACUUGUGGCUGGGGGUGAAAGGCCAAUCAAACCGGGAGAUAGCUGGUUCUCCCCGAAAGCUAUUUAGGUAGCGCCUCGUGAAUUCAUCUCCGGGGGUAGAGCACUGUUUCGGCAAGGGGGUCAUCCCGACUUACCAACCCGAUGCAAACUGCGAAUACCGGAGAAUGUUAUCACGGGAGACACACGGCGGGUGCUAACGUCCGUCGUGAAGAGGGAAACAACCCAGACCGCCAGCUAAGGUCCCAAAGUCAUGGUUAAGUGGGAAACGAUGUGGGAAGGCCCAGACAGCCAGGAUGUUGGCUUAGAAGCAGCCAUCAUUUAAAGAAAGCGUAAUAGCUCACUGGUCGAGUCGGCCUGCGCGGAAGAUGUAACGGGGCUAAACCAUGCACCGAAGCUGCGGCAGCGACGCUUAUGCGUUGUUGGGUAGGGGAGCGUUCUGUAAGCCUGCGAAGGUGUGCUGUGAGGCAUGCUGGAGGUAUCAGAAGUGCGAAUGCUGACAUAAGUAACGAUAAAGCGGGUGAAAAGCCCGCUCGCCGGAAGACCAAGGGUUCCUGUCCAACGUUAAUCGGGGCAGGGUGAGUCGACCCCUAAGGCGAGGCCGAAAGGCGUAGUCGAUGGGAAACAGGUUAAUAUUCCUGUACUUGGUGUUACUGCGAAGGGGGGACGGAGAAGGCUAUGUUGGCCGGGCGACGGUUGUCCCGGUUUAAGCGUGUAGGCUGGUUUUCCAGGCAAAUCCGGAAAAUCAAGGCUGAGGCGUGAUGACGAGGCACUACGGUGCUGAAGCAACAAAUGCCCUGCUUCCAGGAAAAGCCUCUAAGCAUCAGGUAACAUCAAAUCGUACCCCAAACCGACACAGGUGGUCAGGUAGAGAAUACCAAGGCGCUUGAGAGAACUCGGGUGAAGGAACUAGGCAAAAUGGUGCCGUAACUUCGGGAGAAGGCACGCUGAUAUGUAGGUGAAGUCCCUCGCGGAUGGAGCUGAAAUCAGUCGAAGAUACCAGCUGGCUGCAACUGUUUAUUAAAAACACAGCACUGUGCAAACACGAAAGUGGACGUAUACGGUGUGACGCCUGCCCGGUGCCGGAAGGUUAAUUGAUGGGGUUAGCGCAAGCGAAGCUCUUGAUCGAAGCCCCGGUAAACGGCGGCCGUAACUAUAACGGUCCUAAGGUAGCGAAAUUCCUUGUCGGGUAAGUUCCGACCUGCACGAAUGGCGUAAUGAUGGCCAGGCUGUCUCCACCCGAGACUCAGUGAAAUUGAACUCGCUGUGAAGAUGCAGUGUACCCGCGGCAAGACGGAAAGACCCCGUGAACCUUUACUAUAGCUUGACACUGAACAUUGAGCCUUGAUGUGUAGGAUAGGUGGGAGGCUUUGAAGUGUGGACGCCAGUCUGCAUGGAGCCGACCUUGAAAUACCACCCUUUAAUGUUUGAUGUUCUAACGUUGACCCGUAAUCCGGGUUGCGGACAGUGUCUGGUGGGUAGUUUGACUGGGGCGGUCUCCUCCUAAAGAGUAACGGAGGAGCACGAAGGUUGGCUAAUCCUGGUCGGACAUCAGGAGGUUAGUGCAAUGGCAUAAGCCAGCUUGACUGCGAGCGUGACGGCGCGAGCAGGUGCGAAAGCAGGUCAUAGUGAUCCGGUGGUUCUGAAUGGAAGGGCCAUCGCUCAACGGAUAAAAGGUACUCCGGGGAUAACAGGCUGAUACCGCCCAAGAGUUCAUAUCGACGGCGGUGUUUGGCACCUCGAUGUCGGCUCAUCACAUCCUGGGGCUGAAGUAGGUCCCAAGGGUAUGGCUGUUCGCCAUUUAAAGUGGUACGCGAGCUGGGUUUAGAACGUCGUGAGACAGUUCGGUCCCUAUCUGCCGUGGGCGCUGGAGAAUUGAGGGGGGCUGCUCCUAGUACGAGAGGACCGGAGUGGACGCAUCACUGGUGUUCGGGUUGUCAUGCCAAUGGCACUGCCCGGUAGCUAAAUGCGGAAGAGAUAAGUGCUGAAAGCAUCUAAGCACGAAACUUGCCCCGAGAUGAGUUCUCCCUGACUCCUUGAGAGUCCUGAAGGAACGUUGAAGACGACGACGUUGAUAGGCCGGGUGUGUAAGCGCAGCGAUGCGUUGAGCUAACCGGUACUAAUGAACCGUGAGGCUUAACCU
rnacentral:rRNA from 1 species